rnacentral:rRNA from 1 species
AACGAACGCUGGCGGCAUGCCUAACACAUGCAAGUCGAACGAGAUCUUCGGGUCUAGUGGCGCACGGGUGCGUAACGCGUGGGAAUCUGCCCUUUGGUUCGGAAUAACAGUUGGAAACGACUGCUAAUACCGGAUGAUGACGAAAGUCCAAAGAUUUAUCGCCAGAGGAUGAGCCCGCGUAGGAUUAGCUAGUUGGUGUGGUAAAGGCGCACCAAGGCGACGAUCCUUAGCUGGUCUGAGAGGAUGAUCAGCCACACUGGGACUGAGACACGGCCCAGACUCCUACGGGAGGCAGCAGUGGGGAAUAUUGGACAAUGGGCGAAAGCCUGAUCCAGCAAUGCCGCGUGAGUGAUGAAGGCCUUAGGGCUGUAAAGCUCUUUACCCGGGAUGAUAAUGACAGUACCGGGAGAAUAAGCUCCGGCAAACUCCGUGCCAGCCGCCGCCGUAA